rnacentral:rRNA from 1 species
UGGCUCAGAUUGAACGCUGGCGGCAGGCCUAACACAUGCAAGUCGAACGGUAACAGGAAGCAGCUUGCUGCUUCGCUGACGAGUGGCGGACGGGUGAGUAAUGUCUGGGAAACUGCCUGAUGGAGGGGGAUAACUACUGGAAACGGUAGCUAAUACCGCAUAAUGUCGCAAGACCAAAGAGGGGGACCUUCGGGCCUCUUGCCAUCGGAUGUGCCCAGAUGGGAUUAGCUUGUUGGUGGGGUAACGGCUCACCAAGGCGACGAUCCCUAGCUGGUCUGAGAGGAUGACCAGCCACACUGGAACUGAGACACGGUCCAGACUCCUACGGGAGGCAGCAGUGGGGAAUAUUGCACAAUGGGCGCAAGCCUGAUGCAGCCAUGCCGCGUGUAUGAAGAAGGCCUUCGGGUUGUAAAGUACUUUCAGCGGGGAGGAAGGGAGUAAAGUUAAUACCUUUGCUCAUUGACGUUACCCGCAGAAGAAGCACCGGCUAACUCCGUGCCAGCAGCCGCGGUAAUACGGAGGGUGCAAGCGUUAAUCGGAAUUACUGGGCGUAAAGCGCACGCAGGCGGUUUGUUAAGUCAGAUGUGAAAUCCCCGGGCUCAACCUGGGAACUGCAUCUGAUACUGGCAAGCUUGAGUCUCGUAGAGGGGGGUAGAAUUCCAGGUGUAGCGGUGAAAAUGCGUAGAGAUCUGGAGGAAUACCGGUGGCGAAGGCGGCCCCCUGGACGAAGACUGACGCUCAGGUGCGAAAGCGUGGGGAGCAAACAGGAUUAGAUACCCUGGUAGUCCACGCCGUAAACGAUGUCGACUUGGAGGUUGUGCCCUUGAGGCGUGGCUUCCGGAGCUAACGCGUUAAGUCGACCGCCUGGGGAGUACGGCCGCAAGGUUAAAACUCAAAUGAAUUGACGGGGGCCCGCACAAGCGGUGGAGCAUGUGGUUUAAUUCGAUGCAACGCGAAGAACCUUACCUGGUCUUGACAUCCACGGAAGUUUUCAGAGAUGAGAAUGUGCCUUCGGGAACCGUGAGACAGGUGCUGCAUGGCUGUCGUCAGCUCGUGUUGUGAAAUGUUGGGUUAAGUCCCGCAACGAGCGCAACCCUUAUCCUUUGUUGCCAGCGGUCCGGCCGGGAACUCAAAGGAGACUGCCAGUGAUAAACUGGAGGAAGGUGGGGAUGACGUCAAGUCAUCAUGGCCCUUACGACCAGGGCUACACACGUGCUACAAUGGCGCAUACAAAGAGAAGCGACCUCGCGAGAGCAAGCGGACCUCAUAAAGUGCGUCGUAGUCCGGAUUGGAGUCUGCAACUCGACUCCAUGAAGUCGGAAUCGCUAGUAAUCGUGGAUCAGAAUGCCACGGUGAAUACGUUCCCGGGCCUUGUACACACCGCCCGUCACACCAUGGGAGUGGGUUGCAAAAGAAGUAGGUAGCUUAACCUUCGGGAGGGCGCUUACCACUUUGUGAUUCAUGACUGGGGUGAAGUCGUAACAAGGUAACCGUAGGGGAACCUG